AUGUUUACGUGUUUCUAGUUCCAACAUUGUAUUUCAUUUGUAUCAUAGUCUAAAUUGGUAGCUACCUAUCUUUAGUGGGUGGAGGAAGCUUUCUUUAGUUUCAUUGUUAUAAUUUGCUAUUUUGCUACCAUAUUAGAAGUAGAUUUAAUAAUUAUCAUCAUCACAUUGAAGUUAGUUUCUCUUCAAGAUAAUAAAUUAGGAUUAUGUAUUCACCUUUUGAGAUUGUUGAAGAGAUGGAGGAGCCUGUGGAGGCAGAGAACUAUGGUGGUGAUGAUGAGCCUUCAAUGAUGAAAGCCAUUAUGAGAGAAAGUUCUCAACUUCUCUCUAUGCCUUCAAUGGAAUAUAUGAUGCCGAGUGCUUGAAGUUGAAGCUUCAGUAAGAGAACAUAAAGGGUAAAACAAAAAUUUCAGAUCAAAUUAGCAAGCUCAGGAAAGCUUGCAACAAGAACAAAAAUGAGGUUAAUAACGGAGAAGAGGAAAAGAUGAGAUUUAUUGUUUUGGAGAGGUUUUAUUUUGGGGAUGAGGUUCUGCCCUUGUUUGAGACUGGUAUUCCUCUCUUAAACUAACGGUUGAGUCAGCUUCCGGAUGCUAAUAAUGAUAGCAGAGGUUUAAAAUCGUCACAAUUUUUUUAAAAAACCUAUUUACCAAGUAGCUGCGGUUGUGCCAGUGGUUUUCCAAAACUGCAGCAAAAUCAAAUCUCCACCCCUAAUAGGCAACGCUUGUGGAACCGCUGGAAUUUCGUUUUGCGGCUGUUAAAAACAGCCACAAAUCCCUAAAAAACCGCCGCUAUUCGGUGUAUCUCUUGUAGUUUUCAUAGAAGUUUUUUCGGAUUACAUUAUCUUUCGGGUGGGUCUCUCUCAUGUGUUGAAGCAGUUGAUCGAUAGAUCGCUAAGAAAUAUUUCCUUCAGAUUUAAUUGUCAUUAAUCUAACAGCAAAUGAAAGUUUAGUGUGAUUUUUUUAAUUAAAAUUGUUUAAUUUGUAUUAUAAAAUAGAAAUCUAAAUUUAGUUUUAAAAAGGCUAACAUAUACCAUGUAAGUUAAUUUUGAAAAGACGAAAAAUUUCUUUUAGAAUUAUGGUUGUUUAAUUGUACUAGACAUUCGAAAUUUGAGUUUGAUUAUAAAGAGUUUAAAAUACAAGUUUGGUGAAUUUCAUUUCAAAAGUAGUAGAUACCGGCAGUUCCGAGAAAUACUACUGUUUUCUAAAUGUAUUCUGGUUGUAGAGGUAUAAAACCAGAUAACCUGAUACUUAAUAUAUUUGAACUACUAUAUAUGCUACUUUAAUGUGUAACACAAGUUAUAAAUAGAACAAUACACAAUAAUAUAUAUCAAAUUGAAUUUUAUUACGUAUUUGCUACAACACAAGAUGACAUGAGUUUCUAUAAGAUUAAUUUUAUUAUAUUCAAGCUUGUAUAAUAAUGUAACAUAUUAAAAAUUACACAAGAAAGUAACAUUAUAUUAUUAUACCAAUGCAUGAGAUACUUCAAACAAACGAUAAUAUAAAAAACUACAAACACAAUACUCCCAAGCCUUGUACUAUCAUACCUAAUAUAUACUUUUUGAC